rnacentral:sRNA from 1 species
GCCAGGCAUGGUGCUGCAUGCCUGUAAUCCCAGCGGCUAGGGAGGCUGAGGCAGGAGGAUCAAAAGUUCAGGGCCGGUCUCAGCAACCUUGGGAGACCUUGUCUCAA